rnacentral:tRNA from 1 species
GGGAAUCAAUUAAAUUUGCGGAAUCAUAAUCCGCAGGUCCGGGGUUCGAGUCCCUGAUUCGCCACCA